rnacentral:piRNA from 1 species
UGGCAUUUCUUUAUGUGACAUCCCAUAGC